UAACUCUUAGCGGUGGAUCACUUGGCUCGUGG
rnacentral:rRNA from 2 species